AUGGGGGCAACCCUGAUCCAGCCAUGCCACGUGCGGGAAGAAGGCCUUCGGGUUGUAAACCGCUUUUAGCCGGGACGAAAAGGGCACGGAUAACACCCGUGUUUUUUGACGGUACCGGCGGAAUAAGCACCGGCUAACUACGUGCCAGCAGCCGCGGUAAUACGUAGGGUGCGAGCGUUAAUCGGAAUUACUGGGCGUAAAGCGUGCGCAGGCGGUUCGUUGUGUCGGCGGUGAAAGCCCCGGGCUCAACCUGGGAAUGGCCGUUGAAACUGGCGAACUGGAGUGUGGCAGAGGGGGGUGGAAUUCCGCGUGUAGCAGUGAAAUGCGUAGAGAUGCGGAGGAACACCGAUGGCGAAGGCAGCCCCCUGGGCUGACACUGACGCUCAGGCACGAAAGCGUGGGGAGCAAACAGGAUUAGAUACCCUGGUAGUCCACGCCCUAAACGAUGUCGACUGGGUGUUGGGGAAGCGAUUUCCCAGUACCGUAGCUAACGCGUGAAGUCGACCGCCUGGGGAGUACG
rnacentral:rRNA from 1 species